AGCGUCGUAGCCCAACCAGGCAGAGGCACCAGGUCGAGAGCCUGUCCAGUGGAGGUUCGACUCCUCUCGGCGCUACCA
rnacentral:tRNA from 1 species